GAUGAACGCUGGCGGCGUGCCUAACACAUGCAAGUCGAGCGAGAAGUAAAGAAAUGAAGCUUCGUUAGAUUUUCAUUAUGGAAAGCGGCGGACGGGUGAGUAACGCGUAGGCAACCUGCCCUGUACAGGGGGAUAGCCACCCGAAAAGGUGAUUAAUACCCCAUGAUGCAAGAGAUACACAUGUAUCACUUGUCAAAGAUUUAUCGGUAUGGGAUGGGCCUGCGUCUGAUUAGCUAGUUGGUAGGGUAACGGCUUACCAAGGCAACGAUCAGUAGCCGACCUGAGAGGGUGAUCGGCCACAUUGGAACUGAGACACGGUCCAAACUCCUACGGGAGGCAGCAGUGGGGAAUAUUGCACAAUGGGGGAAACCCUGAUGCAGCAACGCCGCGUGAAGGAAGAAGGCCUUCGGGUUGUAAACUUCUGUCCUAGGAGAAGAAACAAAUGACAUUACCCUUGGAGGAAGC
rnacentral:rRNA from 1 species